UAACGUGAUGUUAGAUUAUUUGUUAAAAUAAUGUACAUUUCAGUGAUCAUAUUUUCAUUGAAAGAACGUUCGUGCCUCUUUUUCGAAUAUAUCUUGGCUCUUACCGCAUUUUUAAGAGUGUAAAAAUCUUAUAAAAUAAAAAUGACAUUUGACACAGCCAAAAUUACCUACUUUAUUUUUUUCUAUUACCCUGCUUGGUGCUUUUCAAUUUUUCAUGUUGUUGUUGUUGUUGUUGUGAGGA